ACCUCCUACCUGAUGCAUGCCUGGAGCUGAAUUCAUCAGCUAGUGCCUAACAAAUUGGCCAAUUCUGGACUAAACAAAGCAGCCCAUGUGAUGAAGUACUGGCAGACUGACUCGUUAACACUGGAUAUGCUGUGCAAGUGUCACCUCAACACACACGAGGCUCCCGUUUCAUCCUACAACAGGCUGGAUGGAUAUACACGUUGCACCAGUGACCUGCCACAAACUGAAUUCUGUUCAAAUAGAUGUUUAUGCAAAUGUUAGUCAAAUAUCCAGCUGGUUUCCAUGCAUAUGAUACAGCAUGCUGUCUCACUAAUCAGCACCUGAGCAAGGAGAACAUUUCCUGGUCAUUGUCCACCAUGUUCCCUCUCAAGGGAGCUGUCUGAUUCCACAGUCCAAUUCCCCAGGAAUAUAGCUGGUGUCUCUGCGUUCCCGAUGAACCGUCCCACCCUCUGGAUUAUGCCUUUGAACAUGAUGAACUGGGCAGAUCCUUUCUAAUAGCAGGUCCCAACCCGACAGAGAUUGCAGAAAAUUCCUUCAACGGUGCUGCGAGUAUCCUGGGAGAAAGGUGGAUCUCUGAAGGAAAGUUUCCUCAUUGAAUGCAUCCGUUCAUUGGUGAUGUUGAGGAGGCCAAAAGACUUCUGGCAGGAGAGCUAAAGGCAUUUCUGAAUUUGCUCAAUUGGAGCUGGAAGCCUGAGCAACACGAUCUCAUUAAUUGAGAACGAAGGGGCAGUAAAACAGCCCUGGGGCGGGUCUGGUUCCAGAUUCGGUGCAGGCUGCUGCUGUGGUUUGCAGGUUUAGGGCUUGCGACGAUGAGCAGCAGAGGUCAAUUGAAAAUGCCUUGAGGCUGCCUCUGACUUUGCUCUCCCACAGAGCAAGGUUUGUUGCCACUUGCUGUUUGUUAUUCGACAGCUUUCUAGGCCAAGGAAUGGGGUUUGAUCCUACACAGUAGUAUGUUUUGUCACUCCAAAAACUAAUCAAAGAAAAACACUCGGCUGGAGAUAAACCUUAAGUUUCACUUUAGUGUAUUUUUUUGCUCUCUUCCUCUCUGCACAUUGGAUGUUUGGUCUUUUUUAUGUGUUCUUUAUUUUGCAGCUGCCUGUAAGGAGGUGAAUCUCAGGGUUGUAUAAUGGAUACACACUUUGACAAUGAAUGUAUUUUGAACUUGUGAUGUGGUGUAAUGACGUAUGCUAUUCACAUACUUUUAUGUACAACCCAUAAUGAAUUAUUUAAUAAACAAAGAAUGCUUAAUCGGACAAUGUAUUUACAA